GCACCUACCGAAGACUAUCAAACUCCGAAUGCCGUCAUCUUAUACUUGGGAGUCAGACUGUGGGUGAUAAGAUUCAUAGUCGAAAGGGCAACAGCCCAGAUCGUCAGCUAAGGUCCCUAAAUGUAAGUUAAGUGGUAAAGGAUGUGGGAUUGCACAGACAACCAGGAUGUUGGCUUAGAAGCAGCCACUCAUUCAAAGAGUGCGUAAUAGCUCACUGGUCGAGUGAUCCUGCGCCGAAGAUUUCCGGGGCUAAAACUUACUACCGAAGCUACGGCAUCAGUAAUGAUGGGUAGGGGAGCUUCCCAUACGGGUUGAAGCAUGACCGUAAGGACAUGUGGACAGUAUGGGAGUGAGAAUGUUGGCAUGAGUAGCGAGAUGUGGGUGAGAAUCCCACAGGCCGUAAACCCAAGGUUUCCAGGGGAAGGUUCGUCCGCCCUGGGUUAGUCGGGACCUAAGCUGAGGCCGAAAGGCGUAGGUGAUGGACAACAGGUUGAUAUUCCUGUACUACCGAUAACCGUUUGAGAGAAGGGAUGACACAGUAGGAUAAGCUAAGCACACUGUUGGUUAUGUGUGCCCAAGCAUUGAGGCAGUCAAAGUAGGCAAAUCCGCUUUGAUAAUGCUGGGAUGUGAUGGGGAGCGAAAUUUAGUAGCGAAGUAGCUGAUUUCACACUGUCAAGAAAAGUCUCUAUCGAGGUUAAAGGUACCCGUACCGCAAACCGACACAGGUGGGUGAGGAGAGUAUCCUAAGGCCAGCGAGAGAACUGUUGUUAAGGAACUCGGCAAAAUGACCCCGUAACUUAGGGAUAAGGGGUGCCACCAUCAGGUGGCCGCAGAGAAUAGGCCCAAGCGACUGUUUACCAAAAACAUAGGUUUCUGCUAAGUCGCAAGACGAUGUAUAGGAGCUGACGCCUGCCCGGUGCUGGAAGGUUAAGGGGAUCUGUUAGAGCAAUCGAAGCAGUGAACUUAAGCCCCAGUAAACGGCGGCCGUAACUAUAACGGUCCUAAGGUAGCGAAAUUCCUUGUCGGGUAAGUUCCGACCCGCACGAAAGGCGUAACGAUUUGGGCACUGUCUCAACAACAGACUCGGUGAAAUUGUAAUUCCGGUGAAGAUGCCGGAUACCUGCGACAGGACGGAAAGACCCCAUGGAGCUUUACUGUAGCUUGACAUUGGGUCUUGGUACUACAUGUACAGGAUAGGUGGGAGGCUUUGAAACCAGGACGCCAGUUUUGGCGGAGCCAUCCUUGGGAUACCACCCUUGUAGUACUGGGACUCUAACCAUAGGCCAUGAAUCUGGUCUUGGGACACUGUCAGGUGGGCAGUUUGACUGGGGCGGUCGCCUCCCAAAAGGUAACGGAGGCGCUCAAAGGUUCUCUCAGUACGGUCGGAAAUCGUACGUAGAGUGUAAAGGCAAAAGAGAGCUUGAUUGCAAGACAUACAGGUCGAGCAAGGAUGAAAAUCGGACUUAGUGAUCCGGUGGUUCUGCGUGGAAGGGCCAUCGCUCAACGGAUAAAAGCUACCCUGGGGAUAACAGGCUUAUCUCCCCCAAGAGUCCACAUCGACGGGGAGGUUUGGCACCUCGAUGUCGGCUCAUCACAUCCUGGGGCUGUAGUAGGUCCCAAGGGUUGGGCUGUUCGCCCAUUAAAGUGGUACGCGAGCUGGGUUCAGAACGUCGUGAGACAGUUCGGUCCCUAUCCGUCGCAGGCGUAGGAAAUUUGAGAAGACCUGUCCUUAGUACGAGAGGACCGGGAUGGACGUACCUCUGGUGUACCAGUUGUUCUGCCAAGGGCAUGGCUGGGUAGCUAUGUACGGAAUGGAUAAGCGCUGAAAGCAUCUAAGCGCGAAGCCAA
rnacentral:rRNA from 1 species